UGGCCAUGCCAUCUGUUGAAUUCUGCUUUAGCUGUGGCUCAGUUGGGAGCAGACUUGUCUUUGAUCGUGAAGAGCCACUCCAGGGCUUGACCACUGAAAUCAAGGGUACUCAGGUACCAUGGGAGUAAUUCCAUGUUGGAGGUGUCACCUUUCAAAUCAAACUGAGGCCAAAUCUUCCUGAUCAGGUAUCGUUGGCUAGGCAGCAUUUAUUGCCUAUUCCCAAUUGCCCAGAGGGCUGUUUAGAGUCAACCACAUUGCUGUGGGCCAAGAGUCACAUGUCGGCCAGACCAGGUUGCUUUCUGCAAAGGCAAAGAAUCUGAUGUCCCACGAGCAGACAAAAGCCAAAAGCAAGUAGUCAUGACAAGAAAUCAAAUGUAUUCUUCUCCGAAGAACCAACAUAAUGCUCCAAAAGUGACUGCACACAAGUUGUCAAUGAAAUAAGUUUAUCAACAUGCUUUUCAUCUCUACCUCAUAAUUCAAUAUUUAACUGUGACAUUUUAUUCAUUUAUAAAAUACUUUUGUUGCAUCCUUCUAAAUCCUUUUGCCUAUGCCCACCUUGUUGUAAAUGUUGAGCUGAUGAUUUAAUUAACCUAUUCCUGGCUUUAUGUUCUGACUUCGGCCCCAAAACCCAUAGAACUUAGUUCUGGCUCUGAAAUAUGAUCUGAUUUUUAUAUUUACUUCUCAAAACAUAACACCUACGUAAGUGUGCAUUUGCCUUGAGGUAUUCUGUUUCUUUAUACUGGGCUUACUCUAGAAAAUUAAGCAUGCAUGAUGGUUCAAUAACAAAAAUAAAUCAUAUUCCAUGCGGAAAACGUUAAAUGCUGUUGUGAGCAAAGUGUUUCAAGUAGUGCUGUGCCAAAAGUUGCAACAUGAUUCCUCACGCAUCAAUUGGUCAGACUUAAAUAUUACAUAAAUGUUGUAUCAAUGCUUCUUCUUUACUUCUAUCAUAAUGCUCCUUUCCUUUCCCAAUUUCUUUUCUAAAGAAAAUAUAGAUCACACGUCUCUCCAAUUUAACUUCUGAAACAUAGCUGAGGAACAGAGAUGUAGUAGCCUUAGUGAAUCGUGAGGUUUAUUUUGGCACUGGAUUGUAAAUUUGCACACAGCUGUCAAAUUAUCUCAGAAUCUGUCAGAAUGGCAAGUGUAGUAAAGGACUAAGGCCCAUCUGUGAAGAUGGAAUAUUUCUCUGCUGAAUGAAUUGAGGCAAUUUUUAAACCAGCAUAGGGCAAAGAUUUAUUUUUGAUCCAACUAAGGUUGCCCUAGGGUCCCAAAAAAAAAGAACUAGGUUAUUCAUCUUCAUGGGCUACAAGACUGCAUUCAAAAAUAAAGAAGUAUGAUUCCAUAUAAACCCCUGAGAUUUUGAGCAGUUGUUCUUGGCCCACCAGAGCCAUAUUGUGGUAUUAAAUGCGAGAACAUCAAGUACCUUUCCACUUAGGCUUGCAUGCCUGCCUUUCUCUCAAGGCAUGAGUCAUUUCCAUGACUUUUUCAAAAACAGCAUGUAGCCGUACAAUGCUCCCUCUACUGACUCAAUGCAAGAAACUAAAGCUAUCCUUAUUUAUACUAGUUUGAAGCUGAUUUUUCCAGUGUUCUGAAAGGGCUUACAAAUCAAAUUAUAUUUGUGUGUAUAUCUGUAAAUCUUCCUCCCACAGAUAUUGCAUGCAUGUGUUGUCUGUUUGGCAGAAUUUUUUUUUGUUUGCAUUGCCACUCUCUAUAUUGUGCGUUAUGCUCAGAAUUGGAUAUUGACUAACAUGAAAGGGAAUGAAAUGGUUUCACUUGAUCACUGUCUGUCUUUAUUAAAGAUUCUGAAUUAUUAACCACCGAAGGCCUGCAGCAUAACCUGCUGCAUAUUCACUGAAUUGGAUAGUCACUAUGACUACCUUCUCACAUUUAUUGCAAUGUAAGGUGUGUGGCCUAGCUGUGUUUUUUAAUAUCAGCAAUUUUGGAUUUUUGAAUUAGUGGUAUAUGGGUUUUCUGUGUGUAUGAAGUGGUGUAAUGAUUAACUGUUAGGGAUUUCAGUAGCCAUGGCAAUUUCUUUAUAAAAAUCAAGCAAGAUAUAGUUCAGGAGGGCUAAUGAGAAUUUUAUUUUAUCUUGGGAGGCUUUUACAAUUAACCAAAGUAACAGUUCUGUACUAGGUUUUCCUUUUAGUAGGUUAGGAAUUGAAUAUUUUUCUUUCUGAUUAAGGCAGGAAACCCACCACUUGGGAAAAAAAGGCAUUUUAGUUUCAGUUUUGGGUAGUUUUCAGAAAUUUUGAUUGAAGCUGAACAUGUAAAACAAUUGGUCCUGAGAAAAGGAGGCAUUUUAGGGCUGCUAAGAAAUUGAUCAGCUCAACUAGAGGAGUUUAAUUUGAAAAUUCUAGACUAGGAAUGUUUGGCUAAAACACUGAGUAUUAUUUGAAGCUGAGAAAGAUUAAGCUCAGUGAUAUGACAAAUUAAGAAAGAGGCUAUCAGAUUCUCAUAGCUGGUGAACUGAAGCCUCAGCUAAGUCAUCCCUGUGUGUGAUUGAGAAGGGAAACUUUCUGUGGUAUUUAACGACAGUAAUAGAAUUCUGGUAGGAAUAAUGGAAUUGUAUUUUUGCUGUGUGUUUCAACAUCCUUAAAUGUGUAUU